AAAGGUAGCAUAAUCAUUUGACUUUUAAAUGGAGCCUAGAAUGAAAGAAAUAACGUAGACAAUUUGUCUCAUUAACAGUUUUUUAAAGUUGAUGUAAUGAGUGAAAAUGCUCAUAAUUUUAAAAAUAGACGAGAAGACCCUUAGAAUUUUGAAGAUAUCACAAGCAAAAUGUGUUAAAUUUUUUGUUGGGGCAACAAUAUUUCACUUGAAAUAAAUAUAUUAUUAAAAGAUAUGUCGAUUUAAUAGUUAAACUUAAAUUACCUAAGGGAUAACAGCAUAAUUUUAAAUUAUAAAGUUUGUGACCUCGAUGUUGGACUAGGUACUAUUAAGGCUAAUCGUUUUAAUAUAAUAUGUUCUGUUCGAACUUUAUUACCUACAUGAUC
rnacentral:rRNA from 1 species